AGUGAACGCUGGCGGUAGGCCUAACACAUGCAAGUCGAACGGCAGCACAGUAAGAUCUUGCUCUUACGGGUGGCGAGUGGCGGACGGGUGAGGAAUACAUCGGAAUCUACUUUUUCUUGGGGGAUAACGUAGGGCAACUUACGCUAAUACCGCAUACGACCUACGGGUGAAAGCAGUGGUUCUUCGCACCUUGGCCGUUUGAAUUAGCCGAUGCCGGAUUAGCUAGUUGGCGGGGUAAAGGCCCACCAAGGCGACGAUCCGUAGCUGGUCUGAGAGGAUGAUCAGCCACACUGGAACUGAGACACGGUCCAGACUCCUACGGGAGGCAGCAGUGGGGAAUAUUGGACAAUGGGCGCAAGCCUGACCCAGCCAUACCGCGUGAGUGAAGAAGGUCUUCGGGUUGUAAAGCUCUUUUGUUGGGGAAGAAAAGCAGUAGGUGAAACCAUGGCUGUCUUGACGGUACCCAAACAAUAAGCACCGGCUAACUUCGUG
rnacentral:rRNA from 1 species